AACGAACGCUGGCGGCGUGCUUAACACAUGCAAGUCGAGUGCGCGUGCCGUAGCAAUACGGUAUGGCGCACGGCGCACGGGUGCGUAACACGUGGGUAACCUGCCCUUUGGUGGGGAAUAACUCCGGGAAACCGAAGCUAAUUCCGCAUAAGAUCCGCAAGGAUGAAAGCCGCAAGGCGCCGAUGGAGGGGCCCGCGCCCGAUUAGCUAGUUGGUAGGGUAACGGCCUACCAAGGCUUUGAUCGGUAGCUGGUCUGAGAGGAUGGCCAGC
rnacentral:rRNA from 1 species